UGGGGAAUUUUGGACAAUGGGCGAAAGCCUGAUCCAGCAAUGCCGCGUGUGUGAAGAAGGCCUUCGGGUUGUAAAGCACUUUUGUCCGGAAAGAAAUCCUUGGCUCUAAUACAGUCGGGGGAUGACGGUACCGGAAGAAUAAGCACCGGCUAACUACGUGCCAGCAGCCGCGGUAAUACGUAGGGUGCAAGCGUUAAUCGGAAUUACUGGGCGUAAAGCGUGCGCAGGCGGUUUGCUAAGACCGAUGUGAAAUCCCCGGGCUCAACCUGGGAACUGCAUUGGUGACUGGCAGGCUAGAGUAUGGCAGAGGGGGGUAGAAUUCCACGUGUAGCAGUGAAAAUGCGUAGAGAUGUGGAGGAAUACCGAUGGCGAAGGCAGCCCCCUGGCAAGUACUGACGCUCAUGCACGAAAAGCGUGGGGGAGCAAACAGGAUUAGAUACCCUGGUAGUCCACGCCCUAAACGAUGUCAACUAGUUGUUGGGGGAUUCAUUUCCUUAGUAACGUAGCUAACGCGUGAAGUUGACCGCCU
rnacentral:rRNA from 1 species